rnacentral:rRNA from 1 species
GAGUUUGAUCCUGGCUCAGGAUGAACGCUGGCGGCGUGCCUAACACAUUCAAGUCGAACGGAACUUGAUGAGUAGCAAUACGAAUUAAGUUUAGUGGCGGACGGGUGAGUAACGCGUGAGCAACCUGCCUUUCAAAGCGGGAUAACGACUGGAAACGGUCGCUAAUACCGCAUGAUGUAUAUGAGUCGCAUGUCUUGUAUACCAAAAGGGAAACCUGAUGAAAGAUGGGCUCGCGUCUGAUUAGAUAGUUGGUGAGGUAACGGCUCACCAAGUCUGCGAUCAGUAGCCGGACUGAGAGGUCGAACGGCCACAUUGGGACUGAGACACGGCCCAGACUCCUACGGGA